rnacentral:rRNA from 1 species
CUUGGUCAUUUAGAGGAAGUAAAAGUCGUAACAAGGUUUCCGUAGGUGAACCUGCGGAAGGAUCAUUAAAAAAAAGAGAAACGUCCCGUUUUUUUUCAUAAGAAUGGGUUCUAUUCCCUUAAACCGUGUCUACAUACCUUUGUUGCUUUGGCAGGCCGCCUUCGGGCGUCGGCUCCGGCUGAUAGUGCCUGCCAGAGGACCCAAACUCUAUGUUUAGUGAUGUCUGAGUACUAUAUAAUAUUUAAAACUUUCAACAACGGAUCUCUUGGUUCUGGCAUCGAUGAAGAACGCAGCGAAAUGCGAUAAGUAAUGUGAAUUGCAGAAUUCAGUGAAUCAUCGAAUCUUUGAACGCACAUUGCGCCCCUUGGUAUUCCGAGGGGCAUGCCUGUUCGAGCGUCAUUAUAACCACUCAAGCCUGGCUCGGUAUUGGGGUUUUCGCGUGUUCGCGGCCCUUAAAAUCAGUGGCGGUGCCGUCUGGCUCUAAGCGUAGUAAUUUCUCUCGCUAUAGGGUUCCGGUGGUUACUUGCCAAAACCCCCCAUUUUUUCUAGGUUGACCUCGGAUCAGGUAGGGAUACCCGCUGAACUUAAGCAUAUCAAUAAGCGGAGGA